AUGACGGACGUCAAAACAACCAAUGCCUCCACUAAGGUUACAGAUGUCUAAAAACAGACCUAAUAUCGCUUCUGUUUAGUUUAUUCCACUUUUAAAAUUGUCUUCGGGUGCUGUGCGGUUGGCUGCACAAACAAGGAUACAAACCAAACUUGUCAUUUUAUUUUAUAACUUUUAACGAGGAAAGAUACGGCGGCUACGGAUGGCAGCUGUUAAUCAUAAUGACUGGCAGCCCUCGGGUGUAACCGUGGAUAUACAGCGAACACUUUUUACAAGUUGCAGGCGGCAGGUUUUUUCAUGGUGGCAGACCCUUCUGUUGGCGCCGUAAAGCACAGCGGUGUGUUCAGCUGUGACUGGGACUCAUUAGAUGAGGAGGAUGUCCGUCAUGGUGCCUGGCUGUCUGCGUGUUGGUCAUCCAGCAGGGGACCGAGGAAGAAAGGUGAUGACUACAGAGACGGGAGUAGAAAGGAAGAGGAUCAGCGAGGAAGAUGGAAUAUCAAAUCAUACCAAAUAGUAGAAACGGGAAAGCAAAGCCUACCUGUGUGAUCCACACGAUGAGGAUGGAGGUUUCCAGGUUCAGGUGGUGUGUCUGAGACGUCCAGAGGAGGAGAAGGUGAAACAUCAAUGUUGGCAUAAUUUCUACUCUUUUGGCAAACGUUUCGCCUAGAUUUAACUGUUUAACUGACAGUUGUUGAGCGACACUCAUGCAGAGUGCAGCAGAUGUCACGGUCAGCCAACCGGGUGACCCGUCAACUCUUCAGUUCACAAAGCCACAAAAAAAAAAAGCUCAUAAACCGGCGACCCCGGUACAAGCGAUCCAAACAACCGCUCUUAGAACUACGGGAGGAUUCAAACUCCGCUCAAUUAUUUUUAACUUACGGGAAAAAAACGGCAAAUAAACAAAAGUAAACUGACCAAUCACAUUUAGACUUUGGCAUUUGGCCUCUCACAGAUGUGCGCUAAGUACAAGAUGUUUUUCUGUAGUGAGUUGUAAAAGCUUUACUUUCUUGUUUGCAAGACUGAAGAAAACUACAUUUACAAAUAAAAUGUUGAUAAACCAA